AAUGAACGCUGGCGGCGUGGAUUAGGCAUGCAAGUCGAACGCGAAAGUUCCCUUCGGGGAGCGAGUAGAGUGGCGAAAGGGUGAGUAAUGCUUGGAUGACCUGCCCUCGAGACGGGGACAACAGUUCGAAAGGACUGCUAAUACCCGAUAGUCCGGUUUAGAUGCGUCUAGAUCGGUAAAUGGUGCUUCCGCUCGAGGAGGGGUUCAAGUCCUAUCAGCUUGUUGGUGAGGUAACGGCUCACCAAGGCGAUGACGGGUAGCCGGACUGAGAGGUUGGCCGGCCACAUGGGAACUGAGACACUGUCCUGACUCCUACGGGAGGCUGCAGUCGAGAAUCUUCUGCAAUGGGCGAAAGCCUGACAGAGCGACGCCGCGUGGAGGAUGAAGGUUUUCGGAUUGUAAACCCCUUUCAUGAGGAAAGAUAAAGUGGGUAACCACUUAGACGGUACCUCAAGAAGAAGCCACGGCUAACUUCGUGCCAGCAGCCGCGGU
rnacentral:rRNA from 1 species